UACGUAGGAUGCGAGCGUUGUCCGGAAUUAUUGGGCGUAAAGAGAACGUAGGCGGUUUGCCAAGUUUGAUCUUAAAGACCGGGGCUUAACUCCGGGAGUGGAUCGAAAACUGGCAGACUAGAGGACGUCAGAGGAAAGUGGAAUUCCCAGUGUAGCGGUGAAAUGCGUAGAUAUGCGGAGGAACACCGAUGGCGAAGGCAAUCCCCUGGGCCUGCACUGACGCUCAUGCACGAAAGCGUGGGGAGCAAACAGG
rnacentral:rRNA from 1 species